GCUAAACCUGCCUUGGCUAGAUGCAUGGUGAGCCAAAUUAUUAGCUGCCCGAGGUAGAAUAUUAUCUAAAUCACUGGUAAGGAAUAAAACAUCAGCAGAACAUAAAUCAUGCAGUGGAGAGAGGAUUGUUCCAUGCGUUAGAGCAUGUACAGCAUUCAGACUAUCAGUUUCAGUUUGAAAGGAGGUAAACCCAGCAUCUUUG
rnacentral:misc_RNA from 1 species